GCUUUAGCACUCUCUCCGGUUGCACUAGAGUGGGGCAGUGUACUGUACACACUCUUGAGCCAUCGUAGACAGUGACUUGAUGCAUGAGACCCAUGGGUUGUAGCGUCCAAGUUGACCAGGUGUGGCCUAGGCUGGACUUUGGUUGAAAUAUUACAAGUAUGGCAACAGGGUGUGGCAGUGCCUCAAAGGUUGAAUUUAAUAGUCCAAUCUAUUACCCGGCCGGCCAUAUUGGUGGACCAAGUACUUAGUAGAAGGCUAGAGUAGGUCAGAGUUAGAGUGCAGCACUUAAACGUGCUGCGCUACUAGGUGCCGGGCUGUGGGCCGUGAGGUUUAUAAGCCGUUAAACAGUAUACUAG
rnacentral:misc_RNA from 1 species